UCCUCGUUAGCUCAAUGGUAGAGCACCCGGCUGUUAACCGGGGGGUUGCAGGUUCGAGUCCUGCACGAGGAGCCA
rnacentral:tRNA from 1 species